AACGAACGCUGGCGGCAUGCCUAACACAUGCAAGUCGAACGAUGCCUUCGGGCAUAGUGGCGCACGGGUGCGUAACGCGUGGGAAUCUGCCUUUCGGUUCGGAAUAACUCAGGGAAACUUGAGCUAAUACCGGAUAACGUCGCAAGACCAAAGAUUUAUCACCGAAAGAUGAGCCCGCGUAGGAUUAGCUAGUUGGUGAGGUAAAGGCUCACCAAGGCGACGAUCCUUAGCUGGUCUGAGAGGAUGAUCAGCCACACUGGGACUGAGACACGGCCCAGACUCCUACGGGAGGCAGCAGUGGGGAAUAUUGGACAAUGGGCGAGAGCCUGAUCCAGCAAUGCCGCGUGAGUGAUGAAGGCGUUAGGGUUGUAAAGCUCUUUUACACGGGAAGAUAAUGACGGUACCGUGAGAAUAAGCCCCGGCUAACUCCGUG
rnacentral:rRNA from 1 species